rnacentral:rRNA from 1 species
AGAGUUUGAUCCUGGCUCAGGAUGAACGCUGGCGGCGUGCCUAAUACAUGCAAGUCGAGCGAACGGACGAGAAGCUUGCUUCUCUGAUGUUAGCGGCGGACGGGUGAGUAACACGUGGAUAACCUACCUAUAAGACUGGGAUAACUUCGGGAAACCGGAGCUAAUACCGGAUAAUAUUUUGAACCGCAUGGUUCAAAAGUGAAAGACGGUCUUACUGUCACUUAUAGAUGGAUCCGCGCUGCAUUAGCUAGUUGGUAAGGUAACGGCUUACCAAGGCAACGAUGCAUAGCCGACCUGAGAGGGUGAUCGGCCACACUGGAACUGAGACACGGUCCAGACUCCUACGGGAGGCAGCAGUAGGGAAUCUUCCGCAAUGGGCGAAAGCCUGACGGAGCAACGCCGCGUGAGUGAUGAAGGUCUUCGGAUCGUAAAACUCUGUUAUUAGGGAAGAACAUAUGUGUAAGUAACUGUGCACAUCUUGACGGUACCUAAUCAGAAAGCCACGGCUAACUACGUGCCAGCAGCCGCGGUAAUACGUAGGUGGCAAGCGUUAUCCGGAAUUAUUGGGCGUAAAGCGCGCGUAGGCGGUUUUUUAAGUCUGAUGUGAAAGCCCACGGCUCAACCGUGGAGGGUCAUUGGAAACUGGAAAACUUGAGUGCAGAAGAGGAAAGUGGAAUUCCAUGUGUAGCGGUGAAAUGCGCAGAGAUAUGGAGGAACACCAGUGGCGAAGGCGACUUUCUGGUCUGUAACUGACGCUGAUGUGCGAAAGCGUGGGGAUCAAACAGGAUUAGAUACCCUGGUAGUCCACGCCGUAAACGAUGAGUGCUAAGUGUUAGGGGGUUUCCGCCCCUUAGUGCUGCAGCUAACGCAUUAAGCACUCCGCCUGGGGAGUACGACCGCAAGGUUGAAACUCAAAGGAAUUGACGGGGACCCGCACAAGCGGUGGAGCAUGUGGUUUAAUUCGAAGCAACGCGAAGAACCUUACCAAAUCUUGACAUCCUUUGACAACUCUAGAGAUAGAGC